GACGAACGCUGGCGGCGUGCCUAAUACAUGCAAGUCGAACGCAGUGGGGACGGGUGAGUAACCCGUGGGUAACCUCCCAUCAGAGGGGAUAACACUUGGCAACAGGUGCUAAACCGCUACUGAUGGAUGGACCCGCGGUUCAAGAGCUAGUUGGUGAGGUAACGGCUCACAAGGGCCACGAUGUAUAGCCGACCGUAGAGGGUGAGCGGCCACACUGGGACUGAGACAAGGCCCAGACUCCUACGGGAGGCAGCAGUAGGGAAGUUUCGGCAAUGGACGAAAGUCUGACCGAGCAACGCCGCGUGAGUGAAGAAGGUUUUCGGAUCGUAAAACUCUGUUGUUAGAGAAGCGGUAUCUAACCAGAAAGCCACGGCUAACUACGUGCCAGCAGACGCGGUAAUAC
rnacentral:rRNA from 1 species